CUUCUCUGUCACAUCAGUUGGGGUCAUAUUCUCGUUAAGAACAUCAGAAGCCUCAACGGUGGAAUUGAAAGCAUCUUCCUUCAAAUCAUCACCAGCAACUUCCUUUUCUGUCACAGCAGCUGGGAUCAUCUUGUUAGGGACAUCAGCAGCCUCAGCGGUGGAAUAGAAAACAUCUUCGUUGAUGGCUUCCUCUUCAACAACAGCUACUUUCUUAUCUUCACUGGCACUGUUGAUCUCUUCCUUUUCUGUCACAGCAGCUGGGAUCAUCUUGUUAGGAACAUCAGCAGCCUCAGCGGUGGAAUUGAAAGCAUCUUCGUUGAUGGCUUCCUCUGGUUCCG
rnacentral:lncRNA from 1 species